rnacentral:rRNA from 1 species
UAGGGAAUCUUCGGCAAUGGGGGCAACCCGGACCGAGCAACGCCGCGUGAGUGAAGAAGGUUUUCGGAUCGUAAAGCUCUGUUGUAAGAGAAGAACGUGUGUGAGAGUGGAAAGUUCACACAGUGACGGUAACUUACCAGAAAGGGACGGCUAACUACGUGCUAG